rnacentral:misc_RNA from 1 species
GAUGAAGAACGUAGCGAAAUGCGAUAAGUAAUGUGAAUUGCAGAAUUCAGUGAAUCAUCGAAUCUUUGAACGCACAUUGCGCCCGCCAGUAUUCUGGCGGGCAUGCCUGUUCGAGCGUCAUUUCAACCAUCAAGCCCCCGGCUUGUGUUGGGGACCUGCGGCUGCCGCAGGCCCUGAAAACCAGUGGCGGGCUCGCUGUCACACCGAGCGUAGUAGAUUUCAUCUCGCUCAGGGCGUGCUGCGGGUUCCGGCCGUUAAACCACCUUCAUAACCCAAGGUUGACCUCGGAUCAGGUAGGAAGACCCGCUGAACUUAAGCAUAUCAAUAAGCGGAGGA